CAUUGUUACAAAAGUUUCCAUACACAUGACAAUAUAUUUUUAUUGAAAUAAUAAUGAAUACAUUUUUGAAAAUAAUUAUUCAUACUUGCAUGGCAAUGGAAAAUCCAUGAAUCAUAUAACGGAUUUCCUUCUCCUUCUUUGCUUUAGGCUUACGAAAUUUCCAUGUUCAACUACCCCUAAAUCCCCUUAACAGACGAUUGUACCCACUUUACCCCAAGGGUAAUAAAAAAAUAUGUUUAGGUUGUCAAUGAUUGACAAUAUAUCGAUAUCAAUACCCACAUUAUUAUCCAGAUCAUCGGAUACUCCUUCGACAAUUAAAGCAAGGUAUAGCUUGUAUCGAUCAACUCGGGACGUCAAUGUUCGGAGAAAAGCCUUUUCAAUUGGGCACAUGAAAUUUUCUCCAUGAAUUUGAAGUAUUUGUCCUUGAGUCUCAUUUUUCCAUGACUAUAAUAAAUUCAUCACCUUCCUGGACGAGACCACAUUUUAAUCCCGUCACGAUCGUAAGAGUAUACGAUCAAAACUUUUUCAGGUGCCCACAUACAUUGAAUUUGCCUUAUCAGUUUGAAUGGAUCUUGACACGAUCCGUUCCAAAUCACCCUAGUGGACCUGAAACGUGACAUGCGCUAAUGAUAAAUGUUGACUAGAUGUCAAAUCUAUCACCAAGGCUGACUAUGAGUUAUUUCAAAAAAUGCAACAAAAUCAAAUGCUUAUGUAAAACAUAAUGCAAUGGGCCCAAAACAUUUACUUCGUGCUUCAUCAAUAUGAAUUAUAACACUCAACAUAUCGUGUGGCUCUUAUUCAGAAAUCAUUAGGCUCUUCCGACUAAAAAUGAUCAAUUUCUACCUGUAGGAAAAAUCGUGAGAAAAUAUAUGAGUUGAUAACUCAGUGAGUGGAGCAAUUCAAAAAUAAUUAUACUUUUUCAAUUUUACAUUUCUAUCGAAAAUGAAGUUCAUAUCAUUUCAUAAUUCAUAAGAUAACAUCAUGUAAUUAUAACCAAAAAUGAAAUAUUCACGUAAGGUUUUAAAAUAUCAUCUCAAAAUCAUAAUAUAACAUCAGCUGAUAAUCAUGCUAUAAUCACAUCACAUUAAACGUGAUGAAAAAUCCACCAAAAAUGUACUCUCUGACUGAAAUAUAUAAUCCGCUUAUUAGGCUAAAAACUUUCGUCACGGGCCUUUGGCUCCCUCCGUGAGCGAAAGUCGAUCUCAAAGACCUCUCAUAAUCAAUUCUAGAACACGGUUAAGGCCCCUCUGUGAACUAUAUGUACACGAUCAAGACCAAUGUCCGAUCAAGACCCUCCGUGUAGGAUAGAACACGACCA
rnacentral:lncRNA from 1 species